rnacentral:rRNA from 1 species
UACGGUGGGGGCAAGCGUUAUCCGGAUUUACUGGGUGUAAAGGGAGCGUAGACGGUAUGGCAAGUCUGAAGUGAAAGCCCAGGGCUUAACCCUGGGACUGCUUUGGAAACUGUUAGACUAGAGUGCUGGAGAGGUAAGCGGAAUUCCUAGUGUAGCGGUGAAAUGCGUAGAUAUUAGGAGGAACCCCAGUGGCGAAGGCGGCUUACUGGACAGUAACUGACGUUGAGGCUCGAAAGCGUGGGGAGCAAACAGG